CUUCCUUGAAAAACUACAUGUCCCAUGAUCCCUCGCUCCCAAGAUGACCAAAUGGAACACGGAGCCGACGAGCCGCUGUGACAGCUGAGCACGAAGUUUUUCUGAGAGAAACUUCUGCACCGACUACGACCUUCAACAGACACGAAUGAAACAGACAUGACACUCUCGGGACAGGACAGAAGCCGGUCGGUACAGAAGCACUAGCAGCAGAGAGGAUUUCAUUUGAUGAACACUGAAGGAAACAGAAACCUACGUACACAGAACAUCACAUGCUGAGAUAACCACGGCAGCAGCACACUACCUGGCCCCUCAGAGCCCGAUGCCCUGGAAGCCUGUGUUGUCUCCCUGAGCCACCAGGGGGCCUCAGUCCCUCUCAGGGACAGUCAGCUCUGAGUUUGUCUUCACCCUGAACCCUCCAGCUCCUGUCAAGCUGUCCCACCCUGCCUCCUCUCCCUCUUCCACUUUUGCUGUUGCUCCCCAUUCUCCUCCC